UACGAAGGGGGCUAGCGUUGUUCGGAAUCACUGGGCGUAAAGCGCACGUAGGCGGAUCGAUCAGUCAGGGGUGAAAUCCCAGAGCUCAACUCUGGAACUGCCUUUGAUACUGUCGAUCUGGAGUAUGGAAGAGGUGAGUGGAAUUCCGAGUGUAGAGGUGAAAUUCGUAGAUAUUCGGAGGAACACCAGUGGCGAAGGCGGCUCACUGGUCCAUUACUGACGCUGAGGUGCGAAAGCGUGGGGAGCAAACAGG
rnacentral:rRNA from 1 species